rnacentral:rRNA from 1 species
AACGAACGCUGGCGGCAUGCCUAACACAUGCAAGUCGAACGAGACCUUCGGGUCUAGUGGCGCACGGGUGCGUAACGCGUGGGAACCUGCCCUUAGGUUCGGAAUAACUCCCCGAAAGGGGUGCUAAUACCGGAUAAUGUCUUCGGACCAAAGAUUUAUCGCCUUUGGAUGGGCCCGCGUUGGAUUAGCUAGUUGGUAGGGUAAAAGCCUACCAAGGCGACGAUCCAUAGCUGGUCUGAGAGGAUGAUCAGCCACACUGGGACUGAGACACGGCCCAGACUCCUGCGGGAGGCAGCAGUGGGGAAUAUUGGACGAUGGGCGAAAGCCUGAUCCAGCAAUGCCGCGUGAGUGAUGAAGGCCUUAGGGUUGUAAAGCUCUUUUACCCGGGAUGAUAAUGACAGAACCGGGAGAAUAAGCUCCGGCUAACUCCGU